AAAGGAACUAAGGGCGCACAGU
rnacentral:rRNA from 1 species